rnacentral:piRNA from 1 species
UGGGUUAACGAAGCCCAGGGCUCACUUUGA